ACUCCUACGGGAGGCAGCAGUGGGGAAUCUUGGACAAUGAGCGAAAGCUUGAUCCAGCGAUAUCGCGUGAGUGAUGAAGGCUCUUUUGGUUGUAAAACUCUUUCGUCGAGGAU
rnacentral:rRNA from 1 species